GAUGUGGCAAGAUGCGGAAGGGCAUUCACAAAAGAGACACACUAGAAUCCACGAAAAAUCACACACAACAAGGACCGACAAACAUCCAAUGUGCGAAGGAGGACAAAUCAUGCAAGUUGUACAGUAAAAAAAUAAACCAAUAUAACAUAGGACAUGAGCUGGAGUCCCCAAAAGUCCAGGUUCAGGAGCAGUAAUUACCUUUCAACCACCAUGCUGAUGAAUUUCUCUCACCUCAUCCCUGAGCUCAUUCUCCAACUCAUGGACUCACUUUCAAGGACUCUCCAACGCAUGUUCUCAGUAUUAUUUACUUAUUAGUUUUAUUUGUACAAUUUGUACAAUUCUUCUGCACAUUGCUUGUUUGUCAGUCUUGUUAUGUAUAGGUUUCAUAAAUUCUAUAAUAUUUCACUAUUUUCCUGUAAAUGUCUGCAAGGAAAUAAACCUCAGGGCAGUAUAAGGUGACGUAUAUAUUCUUUGAUAAAAUUACUUCGGAUGUUUGACGUUGAUGUGUUCUGUUCACUUCAGAGGGUUGGAUUCCAUGAGGGGAGUAACGCUAGAAAUGUAAUUGUGUUGAAAAUGUUGUAUUUCUGGUAUUCCAAAGAGCAACAGGCACAGAUGGAUUGUAUCCAACUUUUCACAGGUCUUUAAAUUUGUGAGUGGUACCAGCGAAACGGACAAGCACUAAUGUUCUAUUCGGGUCAGGAGCAUGAGCCUGGGAAUUGAAACGUUGCGGAGUGAUUUAUACUGCAGGGAGUUAAGCAAGGAAUCUGUGUGCAAAUAUAGCAGCCUGUUAGAGAGAGGAAUUCAGCUCAUCAAUCAGAUUAACAUGAGGGAAUUGGACAAUGUGGGUAAGAACUCUUUCACCUCCAGUAUUUACCUUUUAAUCUAAUCCAGAUGCAGAGCGGCUCUGCGCAGUCAGGGUAUAAUUCCAAAUAAUUGUGAGGUGGGCCUGUCUUAGGAUAUUCAGGCAAAGGAUAGAAAAUGUUCUCUAGUUUGGCAGUAAGUUAGACGUUUCAGUUAGGACAUUGAUAGGAAGGCUGAUGGAAGGAGUAAAGAUAUUUCUGUUCGGAGCAGGAGUUGAAAGAGAUUCAGUCUAAGGCUAAAUGCCCUGAGAUCACACCUCGAUAAAGCCUGAAAAGUGGGGAUUCUCGGCAGGAUGGACAGAGAAACAGAAUUCACAUUCCUGAACAAGUUUAGUUCUAUGUCCCAUCCCAUUCUGACAUUUUGGUCCAUGGCCUCCUUCGUUGUCAUGAUACGGCCACGCUCAGGUUGGAGCAGCAGCUCUCCAUAUUCUGUAGCCUCCAACCUGAUGGCAUAAACAUUGAUUUCUCCAACCUCCGGUAAUUUCUCCUCCUCCUUUUUCAUUUCCCAUUCUGGCUCCCCUCUUACCCCUUCUCUCUCCUCAUCUGCCUAUCAACUCCCUCUGGUGCCCUUCCUCCUCUUCUUUCUCCCAUGGUCCACUCUCUUCUCCAAUUUGAUUCCUUUUUCUUCAGCCCUUUGCCUUUUCCACCUAUCCCCUCCCAGCCUCUCACUUCCUCCCCCUUCCCUCAUCUACCUUCCCCAUCACCUACUCUCACCACUCACCUGCCAGCUUGUACUUCUUCUGCUCCCCCACCCCUCCUGCCCACCUUGUUAUUCUGGCAACUUCCCCCUCCUUUCUGGUCCUGAUAAAGGACCGCGGCCCGAAUCGUCAAGGGUUUAUUGCUCACCAUAGAUGCUGCUUGACCUCCCGAGUUCCUAGAGCAUUCUAUAUGUGUUACCCUUGAAAUAAGAUGCAACUUCUCCCUGUUGAAAAUCUUGGAACCAUGUAACACAUAAUCCUUGCUUUGGCACCACCUCACAAACCACAACAUGCGCAGAACUCCAGGUACCUCCUGUCCAUCUGUGGAAGAGUCUGCAGUCCCCCCUGAACCCACAAAGCCGCAAAACAAUUACUUAAUCCUCAACUCUAAGGGACUGCCUAAGGAGUGAAACUGGUUAGAAUAUGGACUGAUUUAGAGACAGCAGACAACAUAUUACGGAAUGCCAAGCCAGUGUUCCUCAGUAAACACACACAGAUGCUGGAAGAAUUCAACAGGUCAGGCAGCAUCGAUAAAAGGAAAUGGAGAGGCGAUGUGUAGGGUUGAGACCAUGCAUCAGGACCGUAAGACUAUAAAGAGGUUGUUCAGCAAAUUAUACAAAAUGAUGCAGAGGGAACAGCUGGAGCUGAUGAAUACUGGUGACUGAAACUAUAGCUUCACCUUCAAGGGCUUUACAACUCAGUAUUAUUUAUUUACUUUUUAGAAAUUUAUUUGCACGAUUUGUCCCCUUUUGCACAUAGGAUGUUUGUCAGUCAUUGUUAAGUAUGAUUUUUCCAUUGUAUUCUUUAUUUUCCUGUAAAUACCUGCAAGAAAGCGGAUCUCAGAGUAAUAUAUGGUGACAUACGUGCACGCAGUGGCCACUUUAUUGGUACGUCUAUACACCUGAUUAUUAAUGCAAAUACCUAAUCAGCCAAUCACGUGGCAGCAGCUCAAUGCAUAAAACUGUGUAGACAUGGCCAAGAGGUUCCAUUGUUGUUCAGACUAAACAUCAGAAUGGCAAAGAAAUGUGAUCUGAGUGACUUUGACAAUGGAAUGAUUGUUGGUGUCAGAUGGGGAGGUUUGAGUAGUUCAGAAACUGCUGAUCUGACACACAACAGUCUCUAGUGUUUAAAGGGGAUGGUGCGAAAAAACAAAAAAAAAAUACAGCGUGAGAGUCAGUUCUGUGGGAGGUAACACCUGGUCAGAGGAGACUGGCAUGACAGGUUCAAGCUGACAGGAAGGUGACAGUAACUCAAAUACCCACGUAUUACAACAGUAGAGUGCAGAAGAGCAUCUCUGUAUGCACAACAUGUCAAAUAUUGAAGUGGGUGGGCUACAGCAGCAGAAGACCACAAACAUACACUCACUGGC